rnacentral:rRNA from 1 species
CACGUAGGGUGCGAGCGUUGUCCGGAAUUAUUGGGCGUAAAGAGCUCGUAGGCGGUGUGUCGCGUCGGCCGUGAAAACCUGCAGCUUAACUGUGGGCUUGCGGUCGAUACGGGCAUCACUGGAGUUCGGCAGGGGAGACUGGAAUUCCUGGUGUAGCGGUGAAAUGCGCAGAUAUCAGGAGGAACACCGGUGGCGAAGGCGGUUCUCUGGGCCUGUACUGACGCUGAGGAACGAAAGCGUGGGGAGCGAACAGG